rnacentral:rRNA from 1 species
UCAAUGGCCGUCCAGGGGGGCGUCUUACCAUGCAGUCGAACGAUGAUGCCCAGCUUGCUGGGCGGAUUAGUGGCGAACGGGUGAGUAAUACGUGAGUAACCUGCCCUUGACUCUGGGAUAAGCCUGGGAAACUGGGUCUAAUACUGGAUACUACCUCUUACCGCAUGGUGGGUGGUGGAAAGGGUUUUACUGGUUUUGGAUGGGCUCACGGCCUAUCAGCUUGUUGGUGGGGUAAUGGCUCACCAAGGCGACGACGGGUAGCCGGCCUGAGAGGGUGACCGGCCACACUGGGACUGAGACACGGCCCAGACUCCUACGGGAGGCAGCAGUGGGGAAUAUUGCACAAUGGGCGGAAGCCUGAUGCAGCGACGCCGCGUGAGGGAUGACGGCCUUCGGGUUGUAAACCUCUUUCAGUAGGGAAGAAGCGAGAGUGACGGUACCUGCAGAAGAAGCGCCGGCUAACUACGUGCCAGCAGCCGCGGUAAUACGUAGGGCGCAAGCGUUGUCCGGAAUUAUUGGGCGUAAAGAGCUCGUAGGCGGUUUGUCGCGUCUGCUGUGAAAGCCCGGGGCUCAACCCCGGGUCUGCAGUGGGUACGGGCAGACUAGAGUGCAGUAGGGGAGACUGGAAUUCCUGGUGUAGCGGUGAAAUGCGCAGAUAUCAGGAGGAACACCGAUGGCGAAGGCAGGUCUCUGGGCUGUUACUGACGCUGAGGAGCGAAAGCAUGGGGAGCGAACAGGAUUAGAUACCCUGGUAGUCCAUGCCGUAAACGUUGGGCACUAGGUGUGGGGGACAUUCCACGUUUUCCGCGCCGUAGCUAACGCAUUAAGUGCCCCGCCUGGGGAGUACGGCCGCAAGGCUAAAACUCAAAGGAAUUGACGGGGGCCCGCACAAGCGGCGGAGCAUGCGGAUUAAUUCGAUGCAACGCGAAGAACCUUACCAAGGCUUGACAUUCACCGGACCGCCCCAGAGAUGGGGUUUCCCUUCGGGGCUGGUGGACAGGUGGUGCAUGGUUGUCGUCAGCUCGUGUCGUGAGAUGUUGGGUUAAGUCCCGCAACGAGCGCAACCCUCGUUCUAUGUUGCCAGCACGUGAUGGUGGGGACUCAUAGGAGACUGCCGGGGUCAACUCGGAGGAAGGUGGGGAUGACGUCAAAUCAUCAUGCCCCUUAUGUCUUGGGCUUCACGCAUGCUACAAUGGCCGGUACAAAGGGUUGCGAUACUGUGAGGUGGAGCUAAUCCCAAAAAGCCGGUCUCAGUUCGGAUUGAGGUCUGCAACUCGACCUCAUGAAGUCGGAGUCGCUAGUAAUCGCAGAUCAGCAACGCUGCGGUGAAUACGUUCCCGGGCCUUGUACACACCGCCCGUCAAGUCACGAAAGUUGGUAACACCCGAAGCCGGUGGCCUAACCCCUUGUGGGAGGGAGCCGUCGAAGUGUCUAGUUA